GGCACCAUGGAAGAGGGGCAAGAGACCUCGAACUGGAUGGUGGAGUCGGAGGCAGCAAAUAAAAUUGGAGAUGGAGAGAAAGGGGCUGAGUGAUGGUGAGGAGAGAUGACCGAAGAUCUGAAGCUGAGAAGAAAAGCAGUGUAGAGGAGCUGCAGAUCCAUAAAAAAUAAAGAAUCUUCGGGUAUUAAUCUACCAGAAAUAUAAUAUAUGCAGAUCUACUAAGAAAUAUGAUAUUUUCGGAUGUUGAUUUACUAGAAAAAGAGAAUUUGUGGAAAAUAGAGGAUCUGUGGAUCCACCGAAAAAUAGAGAAUCUUCGGAUGUUGAUUC
rnacentral:lncRNA from 1 species